CNACGACCUCAGAUCAGGCG
rnacentral:rRNA from 1 species